rnacentral:rRNA from 1 species
UACAGAGGGUGCAAGCGUUGUCCGGAAUUAUUGGGCGUAAAGAGAACGUAGGCGGUUUGUUAAGUUUGGGCUUAAAGACUGGGGCUCAACCCCAGGAGUGGCUCGAAAACUGACAGACUAGAGGAUGGCAGAGGAAAGUGGAAUUCCCAGUGUAGCGGUGAAAUGCGUAGAUAUUGGGAGGAACACCAGUGGCGAAAGCGACUUUCUGGGCCAUUCCUGACGCUGAGGUUCGAAAGCUCGGGGAGCAAACAGG